rnacentral:tRNA from 1 species
GAGGACAGAGCUCAGUGGCAGAGCACAUGCUUAGCAGGCAUCAGGUCCGGGGCUCAAUCCCCGGUCCCCCCA